rnacentral:rRNA from 1 species
GAUGAACGCUAGCGAUAGGCUUAACACAUGCAAGUCGAGGGGCAGCAUGGUCUUAGCUUGCUAAGACUGAUUGCGACCGGCGUACGGGUGCGUAACGCGUAUGCAACUUGCCUCACAGAGGGGGAUAACCCGUCGAAAGACGGACUAAUACCGCGUACCCUUGGGAUAGGGCAUCCUGACCCAAGGAAAUGAAAUUCGCUGGGAGAUAGGCAUGCGUGCCAUUAGCUAGUUGGUGAGGUAACGGCUCACCAAGGCGACGAUUGGUAGGGGAAGUGAGAGGGUGCGCCCCCAGAGUGGGACCGGCCCACGGAGCAGUCUGCUACGGGAGGCAGUAGUGAGGAAGACUGAUGAAUGGGCGAGAGCCUGAACCAGCCAAGUCGCGUGAAGGAUGACUGUCUGAUGGAUGGUAAACUUCGUUUAGACGGGAAUAACAACAGCCAAGGGUGGCUGCCUGAAUGUACCGUAUGAAGAAGCAUCGGCUAACUCCGUG